AACACACCUAAGGGGUGUCUCUUAAAAAACCAGAACGAUUAGAUGGAUAGCUAGAAUCGCUAAAUCCGACCGUUUCCUGGCAGGUAGAUCUUUUACUAGUUAUUGAGAGGCUGAGAUUAUACCCAUUGAACCUGUCGGAUCAUGCCGUCGUAGGGAAUAGUUAUGAUGUUAGAU
rnacentral:ncRNA from 1 species